GCUCAGAGUGAACGCUGGCGGUAGGCCUAACACAUGCAAGUCGAACGGCAGCACAGGAGAGCUUGCUCUCUGGGUGGCGAGUGGCGGACGGGUGAGGAAUACAUCGGAAUCUACUCUGUCGUGGGGGAUAACGUAGGGAAACUUACGCUAAUACCGCAUACGACCUACGGGUGAAAGCAGGGGACCUUCGGGCCUUGCGCGAUUGAAUGAGCCGAUGUCGGAUUAGCUAGUUGGCGGGGUAAAGGCCCACCAAGGCGACGAUCCGUAGCUGGUCUGAGAGGAUGAUCAGCCACACUGGAACUGAGACACGGUCCAGACUCCUACGGGAGGCAGCAGUGGGGAAUAUUGGACAAUGGGCGCAAGCCUGAUCCAGCCAUACCGCGUGGGUGAAGAAGGCCUUCGGGUUGUAAAGCCCUUUUGUUGGGAAAGAAAUCCAGCUGGCUAAUACCCGGUUGGGAUGACGGUACCCAAAGAAUAAGCACCGGCUAACUUCGUGCCAGCAGCCGCGGUAAUACGAAGGGUGCAAGCGUUACUCGGAAUUACUGGGCGUAAAGCGUGCGUAGGUGGUCGUUUAAGUCCGUUGUGAAAGCCCUGGGCUCAACCUGGGAACUGCAGUGGAUACUGGGCGACUAGAAUGUGGUAGAGGGUAGCGGAAUUCCUGGUGUAGCAGUGAAAUGCGUAGAGAUCAGGAGGAACAUCCAUGGCGAAGGCAGCUACCUGGACCAACAUGACA
rnacentral:rRNA from 1 species